rnacentral:lncRNA from 1 species
GGGAACACAACGGCAGAGUGUGCUUAAUUUAUUAAAAUCACCACAUCUUUCCCAAAGUAUACCAGUAUGUAAAAUAUGCAUACAAAAUACAACAUUGAAACAAAUUAUUUACAUCCAGGGCAGCUGCAAUAUCAAGCAAUAACUUUAGCAAUAGUUUUGAAAAUAACUUGCUGCACUGUACUAGAUACUAGAUUAAUACUAGAUUAGGUAUUCCACAAUAUGAAGGUUGAAAUUUUAGCAUUGUACUGCUAUAUGAAGUUCUAAAAUAUUACAGUACUUCCAGAUAAAAUAUUAAUGCUUCUUUAAAAAACAGACAACUCAGGAACUGAUCUGUAGACUGACAAAACACUUACACAUUCCUCUUUGGGAACUGAAAACCACGGCAGAUUUAGACACAAACAUAAUAGCUACAUUCAAAAUACAUUCACUUUAUUUAUGCCAAAAAUACAUUCAGUAUAAGUUAUUACUUAUUGCACAUUUCUUACAUUCUGUAGAAAUAUAUGGUACCUCUUAAUGCUUAUUUCCCAUAAAGUCAUAAAUUGUGCUGCCUGUUAAAACAGAACACAGAUGUCUUUCCCUAAAAGCUUCACAUGGAUUGGGGUACCCUGGCACAUAGGGAUGAUUCCUGCCACACCACUUGGAACCACAGGCGCACAGCUGGCACUGCCAUGGUUCCGUUCACGGGAGAAGACAAGCUCCCAGUGCUGCUGCUGGUAGUGCCCAUGCACGAUAGCACAAGAUUCUGCACGCAGGCCAAGGAACAGCUCUGCAAAACCGAAACUAAACCACAGUAGGAACUUUUGAGCCAUAACCUUUAUGAACAUGCACCACUACACAAAAAUACAUUUGUGCACCUGUAUCUGCACACCACAAACAAUGUGGUAGAGCGUCUUCCCACCUAUCCUCCCAGUGAAAACUGCAGCACAGAUGGGAGCCCUGCAGAAGCGCUACCUGCCACAGACAGAAGUCCCAGUGCUAAGCAUGUCCAUGUAGUGGUGAGGCAGAGUAAGAUACCAUUUUUAACAUCAACGAAUGAAACACAAAAACUUCUUUCCUAUGAGCAAUGACGUGCCAGGGACAUCUUUGAGCCCAUCAACAGCCACAUGAGAUCCAGACAGGGACUGUGAGAAGAUUUUGAUCCGCUCAAUGUUAAGACCUGUUGUAGGGACUAGAUAUAUUUCUAAACAAAUUUAUUUAUAAUUCCUGGAUAUACUACAAAAAAAAAAAAAAAAAAAAAAAA